AUGAACGCUGGCGGCGUGCCUAAUACCUGCAAGUCGAGCGAACAGACGAGGAGCUUGCUCCUCUGACGUUAGCGGCGGACGGGUGAGUAACACGUGGAUAACCUACCUAUAAGACUGGGAUAACUUCGGGAAACCGGAGCUAAUACCGGAUAAUAUAUUGAACCGCAUGGUUCAAUAGUGAAAGACGGUUUUGCUGUCACUUAUAGAUGGAUCCGCGCCGCAUUAGCUAGUUGGUAAGGUAACGGCUUACCAAGGCAACGAUGCGUAGCCGACCUGGGAGGGUGAUCGGCCACACUGGAACUGAGACACGGUCCAGACUCCUACGGGAGGCAGCAGUAGGGAAUCUUCCGCAAUGGGCGAAAGCCUGACGGAGCAACGCCGCGUGAGUGAUGAAGGUCUUCGGAUCGUAAAACUCUGUUAUUAGGGAAGAACAAAUGUGUAAGUAACUAUGCACGUCUUGACGGUACCUAAUCAGAAAGCCACGGCUAACUACGUG
rnacentral:rRNA from 1 species